UAAGUGUCUGGGAAGCUGCCUGAUGGAGGGGGAUAACUGCUGGAAACGGGGGCUAAUACCGCAUAAUGUCGCAAGACCAAAGAGGGGGACCUUCGGGCCUCUUGCCAUCGGAUGUGCCCAGAUGGGAUUAGCUAGUAGGUGGGGUAACGGCUCACCUAGGCGACGAUCCCUAGCUGGUCUGAGAGGAUGACCAGCCACACUGGAACUGAGACACGGUCCAG
rnacentral:rRNA from 1 species